CCCUUAGAUGUUCGGGGCCGCACGCGCGCUACACUGAAGGAAUCAGCGUGCUCUCGUCCUGGUCUGGAAAGACUGGGUAACCCGUUGAACCUCCUUCGUGCUAGGGAUUGGGGCUUGCAAUUAUUCCCCAUGAACGAGGAAUUCCCAGUAAGCGCAAGUCAUCAGCUUGUGUUGAUUACGUCCCUGCCCUUUGUACACACCGCCCGUCGCUACUACCGAUUGAAUGGUUUAGUGAGACCCUCGGAUUCGUCCCAGCACAGUGGGUUUCUGCUGAGCUGGUGCGCGGAGAAGACGGUCGAACUUGAUCAUUUAGAGGAAGUAAAAGUCGUAACA
rnacentral:rRNA from 1 species